UCUUCUUCAAGUGGCAGCAGUGGUUGUGGACAAGGUGUUUCAUAUGAUAGCAAUCCCUGCCACCAGGGUGGAUCACAGGGUGGAUCACAGGGUAGUCAGAGUGGAUCAUACUCACAAAACUAUGGUGGUAGCCAAAGUGGAUCAUCAUCCUCACAAAAUUAUGGUAGCAACCAGGAUGGAUCCUACUCACAAAACUACGGUGGUG